rnacentral:rRNA from 1 species
UGUGAACUCGAAGAGUAGGGCGGGACACGUGGUAUCCUGUCUGAAUAUGGGGGGACCAUCCUCCAAGGCUAAAUACUCCUGACUGACCGAUAGUGAACCAGUACCGUGAGGGAAAGGCGAAAAGAACCCCGGCGAGGGGAGUGAAAAAGAACCUGAAACCGUGUACGUACAAGCAGUGGGAGCACCUUCGGGUGUGACUGCGUACCUUUUGUAUAAUGGGUCAGCGACUUAUAUUCUGUAGCAAGGUUAACCGUAUAGGGGAGCCGCAGGGAAACCGAGUCUUAACUGGGCGUUAAGUUGCAGGGUAUAGACCCGAAACCCGGUGAUCUAGCCAUGGGCAGGUUGAAGGUUGGGUAACACUAACUGGAGGACCGAACCGACUAAUGUUGAAAAAUUAGCGGAUGACUUGUGGCUGGGGGUGAAAGGCCAAUCAAACCGGGAGAUAGCUGGUUCUCCCCGAAAGCUAUUUAGGUAGCGCCUCGUGAAUUCAUCUUCGGGGGUAGAGCACUGUUUCGGCUAGGGGGUCAUCCCGACUUACCAACCCGAUGCAAACUACGAAUACCGAAGAAUGUUAUCACGGGAGACACACGGCGGGUGCUAACGUCCGUCGUGAAGAGGGAAACAACCCAGACCGCCAGCUAAGGUCCCAAAGUCAUGGUUAAGUGGGAAACGAUGUGGGAAGGCACAGACAGCCAGGAUGUUGGCUUAGAAGCAGCCAUCAUUUAAAGAAAGCGUAAUAGCUCACUGGUCGAGUCGGCCUGCGCGGAAGAUGUAACGGGGCUAAACCAUGCACCGAAGCUGCGGCAGCGACACUAUGUGUUGUUGGGUAGGGGAGCGUUCUGUAAGCCUGCGAAGGUGACCUGUGAGGGUUGCUGGAGGUAUCAGAAGUGCGAAUGCUGACAUAAGUAACGAUAAAGCGGGUGAAAAGCCCGCUCGCCGGAAGACCAAGGGUUCCUGUCCAACGUUAAUCGGGGCAGGGUGAGUCGACCCCUAAGGCGAGGCCGAAAGGCGUAGUCGAUGGGAAACAGGUUAAUAUUCCUGUACUUGGUGUUACUGCGAAGGGGGGACGGAGAAGGCUAUGUUAGCCGGGCGACGGUUGUCCCGGUUUAAGCAUGUAGGCUGAUUAUCCAGGCAAAUCCGGAUAAUCAAGGCUGAGGUGUGAUGACGAGGCACUACGGUGCUGAAGUAACAAAUGCCCUGCUUCCAGGAAAAGCCUCUAAGCAUCAGGUAACAUCAAAUCGUACCCCAAACCGACACAGGUGGUCAGGUAGAGAAUACCAAGGCGCUUGAGAGAACUCGGGUGAAGGAACUAGGCAAAAUGGUGCCGUAACUUCGGGAGAAGGCACGCUGGUGUGUAGGUGAAGCCCCUGCGGGUGGAGCUGAGACCAGUCGAAGAUACCAGCUGGCUGCAACUGUUUAUUAAAAACACAGCACUGUGCAAACACGAAAGUGGACGUAUACGGUGUGACGCCUGCCCGGUGCCGGAAGGUUAAUUGAUGGGGUUAUCCGUAAGGAGAAGCUCUUGAUCGAAGCCCCGGUAAACGGCGGCCGUAACUAUAACGGUCCUAAGGUAGCGAAAUUCCUUGUCGGGUAAGUUCCGACCUGCACGAAUGGCGUAAUGAUGGCCAGGCUGUCUCCACCCGAGACUCAGUGAAAUUGAACUCGCUGUGAAGAUGCAGUGUACCCGCGGCAAGACGGAAAGACCCCGUGAACCUUUACUAUAGCUUGACACUGAACAUUGAGCCUUGAUGUGUAGGAUAGGUGGGAGGCUUUGAAGCGUGGACGCCAGUCUGCGUGGAGCCAACCUUGAAAUACCACCCUUUAAUGUUUGAUGUUCUAACGUUGGCCCCU